rnacentral:rRNA from 1 species
ACCUACGGGGGGCAGCAGUAGGGAAUUUUCGUCAAUGGGCGCAAGCCUGAACGAGCAAUGCCGCGUGAACGAGGAAGGUCUUCGGAUCGUAAAGUUCUGUUGAAGGGGAAAAAGAGCGGAGAGAGGAAAUGGUCUCCGAUUGAUAUUACCCUUCGAGGAAGUCACGGCUAACUACGUGCCAGCAGCCGCGGUAAUACGUAGGUGGCGAGCGUUAUCCGGAAUGAUUGGGCGUAAAGGGUGCGUAGGCGGCCUGCUGAGUCUGGAGUGAAAGGUACCGGCUCAACCGGUACAGGCUCUGGAAACUG